rnacentral:rRNA from 1 species
UACAGAGGUCCCAAGCGUUGUUCGGAUUCACUGGGCGUAAAGGGUGCGUAGGCGGCCGCCUAAGUCAGACGUGAAAUCCCUCGGCUCAACCGGGGAACUGCGUCUGAUACUGGGUGGCUUGAAUUCGGGAGAGGGAUGCGGAAUUCCAGGUGUAGCGGUGAAAUGCGUAGAUAUCUGGAGGAACACCGGUGGCGAAGGCGGCAUCCUGGACCGAGAUUGACGCUGAGGCGCGAAAGCCAGGGGAGCAAACGGG